rnacentral:lncRNA from 1 species
UGAUGUAUACAUUUUGCUGAAUGACAAAACACACACAAAUAGGAAAGUGACGGUCAACCCAGAGGGCACAAAGGAAGCAACAGUAAGGAAACCACUGAUUCUCAUUUUUUUCUGGUUUAUUUUAGGCCUUGUCUACAAAAUACAAUGUACUGUGUUUGUGCCUCAGGCUUCCUGUGAUCUGGGGAUGACCAAGUUUGAACACAGCUUCAUUUAUUCAGUGUCUGUUCCUGAGACCUUACAGGCCACCUCAUUCUUUGGAAUCUCGUUGGCUGGUGUGAGCUCACGUCCCUGUGAAAGGUUUUCCUGGGAAACAUCAUAAGACCUAAACAAGCAACAGAAGUGAAAAGCUGAAGAGGUGCAGCAUGGCUCACAACUGCCUGCAGUGCAUCAAGUACCUAAUGUUUGUCUUCAACCUCCUCUUCUGGGUGAGUACACAUCUGAGAUUGAGAGCUGUUUGCCUUUGUUUCCCCUUU